UAUUAUUGUAUAAAUAUUGGUCAAACAUAAAAAAAUUGACUUUUCAACAAAGUUAAAAAUAAACUCUUUCAAGGAUGGAGGGAGUACAUACUGCCCGUACUAGGAUGUGCAGUACUUCUACAUCGAAUGUGUAUCGGUUUCAAUGCAUGCACACUCCCAUUAUGAAAUGGCCGAUCACAUCAAUAAUUUGCUGCCGUGUUCUCUGUGUUGAAACUAAAUGGACGGACACGGCCACACGAGCCGUCCGAACCGAAUCUAACAUUCUUAAAAAGUUGCUCUUCACUUCUACCUAUUCUUUCAACAUGCACACUAUCCACAUCAUCUCUAUGCCACAUCAUCAAUCAGUCUGCAAAAUCAGCCAAUCACUCUUUUCCACCCUACGGUCAUGGCCUAGAAAAGAAUUUAACUAAUUUUUAUUGGCAUGUAGACAUGCAUGUCGUUGCUCAGUUUCCCUACUUAAAUUAACACCGAACGCCAAUGGUGUCAAUUCGCAAACAAAAAAGAAAAUCCCAACCUCUUCUCCUUCCCGCCCGUCCCAUCCCCUUCCCCUACAGGCUCCUAAUUCCUUCAUUCAGUUACCACAGCCGAACAGGCACUGCUCCACCUCUCCCCUUCGAUCUAUAAAUGUUUGCCUGAAAAGCAAAAGCCCCAUCAUAGCGCUACUCCUCUUCGGAUUGCCCCUCCUCCUCCCUAAAAUCAAAGUGUCAUUUACAAUACAUGGUGUGGAUUAACUCCUUGAUUGGCGGGGAAUGGAGAUCAUGCCAGCUAUUCAUACUUUUGGGUGGGGCGGAUCGAG